UGGAUAGCUCAGUUGGUAGAGAAUGAGACUCUUAAUCUCAGGGUCUUAAUCUCAGGGUUGUGGGUUCAAGCCCCAAACUGGGUGAA